GGAUUGCGUGAGGGAUGGAAGUGGCAUCCUUUUAUGGAGCGCAGCAGAAUAAAAGAUAUAACGGACAGCCCGACCUUUU
rnacentral:sRNA from 1 species